UGCCCGCCGCUCACAUGUGGCUCCGCGUCCCCGAGCGCGCCCGGCCCGGCCGCCCCUGCCCUGGGAGCUCCUCCUGCUCCUCCCCGGCACGAUGCGCGCAGGACACGAGCGGCUCCGGAGCACUUUGAGUUGCUCCCACCCCGCUCCGUGGGAUUAAUCCAUCCUUUCGGAGGUUAUUUUCGGCAGGCAGGCUCGCGGGCGGGCAGGGCGGCCGGAGGAAGAGCCCGCGGCAGGGGAGGGAUGCGGGAGCAGGGCAGCGGAGCCGGGCGGGACUGAGCCACCCGCAGAGCAGAGGAGGAGAGCGGAGCGGAGCUGCCCUGCUCCCUGCUCCCGUGCCGGGCUGCCCGCAUGGCUCCCGGGCACUGUGGAGAUUGUGGGGGCUGCUGCUGCUGAGCAACCAUCCAUCGCUUUAAACUCAGCCUCAACUUAGCGCAGCAGGCAAGGAUGGCAACGCCACUGGAGCUUUGGAGCUGCCAGGAGAGCCGGGGAACCUGGGUUUUGGUCGCCGCUGUCUAAUAAAUGGGAGUAAAAUGGAAUUUCUUACCUGGGUUUUUCCUGCCUUGGUUCUACUGUGCACCCAACAGCACAGGUGUAUCAGAGCUAUGAGUGACAUCGGAGACUACAUUGGUUCCAACAUUGAAAUCUCCUGGCUGCCCAACCUGGAUGAUUUAAUGAAAGGCUACGCACGGAAUUUCAGGCCUGGCAUUGGAGGUCCCCCCGUUAACGUUGCUCUGGCCAUCGAAGUAGCCAGCAUUGACCACAUCUCAGAGGUGAACAUGGAAUACACCAUGACAGUGUUUUUGCACCAGAGCUGGCGAGACGACCGUCUGUCUUACAACCACACCAACGAGACUCUGGGCUUAGACAGCAGGUUUGUGGACAAGCUCUGGUUGCCAGAUACUUUCAUAGUCAAUGCCAAGUCUGCCUGGUUCCAUGAUGUGACUGUGGAAAACAAACUUAUCAGGCUCCAGCCAGAUGGAGUCAUUUUAUACAGCAUCAGGAUUACCUCAACAGUGGCCUGUGACAUGGACCUGUCCAAGUACCCCAUGGACGAGCAGGAGUGCAUGUUGGAUUUGGAGAGCUAUGGUUACUCCUCGGAGGACAUCGUGUACCACUGGUCAGAGAACCAGGAGGAGAUUCAUGGGCUGGACAAGCUGCAGCUCGCCCAGUUCACCAUCACCAACUACCAGUUCACCACAGAAAUUAUGAACUUCAAAUCUGCAGGGCAGUUUCCCAGGCUCAGUCUCCACUUCCACCUGCGGCGGAAUCGAGGAGUUUACAUCAUCCAGUCCUACGUCCCCUCCAUCCUCCUGGUGGCCAUGUCCUGGGUGUCCUUCUGGAUCAGCCAGUCAGCUGUGCCUGCCAGGGUGUCCUUAGGAAUAACCACAGUCCUCACCAUGACCACGCUGAUGGUCAGUGCCCGCUCCUCCCUCCCUCGAGCCUCUGCCAUCAAGGCCCUGGACGUUUAUUUCUGGAUCUGUUACGUGUUCGUGUUCGCGGCGCUGGUGGAAUACGCCUUCGCUCACUUCAACGCUGACUACAUGAAAAAGCAGAAGAACAAGAUCAAGGCGAGGAGGCAGAGUGCAGAGAUCAACGUGAAGAAUGCCAUUGUUCUGUUUUCCCUUUCCAUAGCCGGUGUGAACCAGGAACUGGCCAUUUCCAACAGGCAGCACCGAAUUCCCAGGAGCCUGCCCGGCUCGUAUGGCACAAUAGAAAUAGAAACUGGAGAGACCAAGCAGCAGGCAGGGAUCAAACUGGAUAAAAAGACUGGCCUGAAGUCCCUGUUCAAGCCCAUCGACGCCGACACCAUCGACAUUUACGCCCGAGCCGUGUUCCCAGCAGCCUUUGCAGCAGUCAAUGUCAUCUACUGGGUCGCUUACACCAUGUAAAAACCCCAAAUCAGGGACAGUCGUGGCCAGAGCUACAAACUCAACAACACCCCCGGAUUGAGGAGCCCUUGCUGAGACUGAAUCGAGCCAUUUCUUCUCAAAAUAUUUUCCAACGAGCUCAAGACACUUCUAAAGUCAAGGAAGUCCUGCUAUGAAUUCCCAAAAAAAGCAGCAAUUAUUUGAUACAGUGAGAACUGUGCUGUGCCAGACCAUCCCAGCUCCUUCCUUCCUCCAAUACCAUGAGACGAUUUUUCAUAUGUACAUAUUUGUAGCAAAAGUUUAACUCUUAAAUGACCACGGUUUUCCUCCCCUUUAAGGGUUGAUCAGUAAUGAAGAUUUGGCUUUUCACACUCAGAUAAUUACCUUUUUUGUAACGAAAGAGUUAAUUCCUCACUUCUGCACAUGAGUGAUUUUCUGCCUCUGGCCUUCUGUGGGAUGGUCUAGGUUUAACAGUAGUGGGAAAGUUGGAGUUUUUAAUUAGAAAAAUCUCAUGAACAAAGUAAAAAGGAAUAGAGGGGAGUGGAGGUUUUUCUUAAAAUAUUAUUUGUCUUGGAUAAAAUAUUGAAAAAAUUCAGUGCUCUUAGUCACAGCAUGAAAUAAAAUAUACUACAUCAAAUUCUACUGAAUUGUUAAUAAUGACUGUAUUACAUUUCAGAUCUAAGCUAAUGAAAGUCGAAACACUUAAACACAGAAAUGUUUAUUAGUUUAAUAGGUCCCAAACAUACAAAAAUGAUUUAGAAACAGAGGGAAAGCUCAGGCUUCCUAUGUUGGAUUGGGAAAAAAUUUAAAGGUGCUUCAUAAGGAAUAAACUCUGACUCCAUUUUCAGGAAGGACUUUAGAAUUUGUUCUGUUGAUUGUCAGUGAGAUUCUACCAUGUGUGCCUCUGAAAAUAUCCUUUUUGAAUCUGUCUCUCAAUAGCUGAAUGAAGUACAGAAAAGAAUUCAUAACUGGCUUCAAGUUACUCGGUUGCUUUGGAUAUUUUUGCCAUUUUUGUUCCAGGCUGACCUGAUCCAUUAGGGCUCUUCUCUUCCCUUACUCAACAGGGAAAUCUGUAGGUCCUCAUACACAGUCCCUAAGUCAGGACUAGAUCCUCUUGCCCAACUCAUGCAAAAUAGCACUUUGUUCUGUAAAUAAUUCCAGUGAACUCAGCAAAUGAACACAGUAUUCACAACAAACAAGCUCCACAACUAAUCUCUAAAAUCUCCACAGUAAAUAUAUUGGAAUAUGGAUUAAACCCACUGAAAUAUUGUUCGUGUGGGAAGCCAAUGGGAGACGCUACAAAAGGGAAAUUUAUUUUGAAGAUUUUGUUGCCUUGAAAGUGAGAGGUUGUUUUUAAAUAUAGAGACUGACACAAAAGCAAAUAUUAAAUGAGAGAGAGAGGGAAAGAAGGAGGCAAAGCAAGGGGCUGAAAUCUGCCAUGGAAGGGAGAGUAAGAUUUGUUCAGUAUCAGUGAAGUAAGAGAAUGCUUUGAAGAAAAACCAAUGAUCUUGAACUGAGCUGUAACAGCAAAUAUGCCCCACUGUAAGUCAGGUUUAGGUUCACCUCCAUGUUUAGUUUCUGUUAUCAUGGAAAAGCCGUCAGCCAACAGUGUGCUGGAAAGCCCCAACUGCCAUCAAGCUGUAACUGUUCCACAGAGUCCUUCCCGAGCCAACCCUGGACUGAGACACCCGGAUUCUGCUCCAGGAUCUCCCCACUGACUCGCUGGGGAACCCCAGUUAAGAUCCUGCACUGCAUCAUCUCCAAAAUUGCUUUAAUGAUGCUGAUUUCUUUGAGUUUUACAGAAGACAAACCCUUCAGGAGAGGCAGAAACUCUCAUCCUCCAAAUGGGUAAGUGCAUCCAACCGGUGCUUCCGUGGUGGUAUUUGCCACAGUUUCUGAGACUCUCACAUACUGAAUUAAAGCAGAGUAUCACUCAACUUCCACCUUAUCCAGAACACUAAUGGAAAUAUGGAUCUCCUUCAAGAAUCAGAUCUUCAAGGUGCACAGCUCAGUGUGACUGAUCAAAGGCAGAGGUGGCAGUGAUCUCCUCAGAAAACCCCAAAGCCAGAAUGCCAGACUACCCCAAUGAUGCACACAGAAGCACAAACGAGAGGACAGAAAUACCCCAGGAGGUUGCAGGCAGUCAGGAAAGUGCCCUGGGAGCCACAGAUGGCAACGUGUCCAUCCCAGGAACGAGGCAGUCAGAGGGGAGAACAGGAUUUUGGGUACUGGUUCUGCACUGGCAUGAGUAGCACAAAACAAAACACCUCCCUCACCAAGAGUGGGAUUUUCUUAAAUCUGUUUCCAGAGCCAGAAACAGAAAACUCAGAUGCCAUUCAAACUUUUAAGGAGACAUUUCAGUACAGGAGUAUGGUGAAUUGAUUGGAGCUUUGCAUAAAUUUGAAUCUUCUAUAUUUUUUUUCAUUUAAAAUCAUCAUAUUUAAAAAUCUUCAGACAUUACUACUUUAGAUCUAUUAACAUCUAAAGGCAAUUCCCUAUUCAACUCUAAUUUCAUGAUGCCCUUAAUAAAGUUAAUAAGCCAAAUCUGAUGUCAGUUGAAUGCUGACUUUGGAUGGGUUUUACUAGGGUCAUAAAAAAAAGUAUGUGACAGAUCAGAAGGCACCUGAAAGCAUUUGUGUUCCUUUCAGCAAUUUAUAGUUCUGCUCUAUGGACUGGCGUGUCUGUGAGAAAAGGAGUGGGCUAUGUGUUAAUGUAAUCAUUCUAAAUGUGAAGUGUUAAUAAAAUGUACAUAUACAGAAAUUGGAGCUUCUGUAAACUGCCAAAACAGACAUUCCAACUAUUGAACUGGAAGAUGAAAAGCAUUAGAAAGGCAAAUCAAAAUAACCCCCGAGAUUUCAUCCCAUAAUGACAUCCUGCCUGUUCAGGGCCCAAGGGCUUGGAAAACUCUCCCCUGGCCUCGGCAGCAGAGGAGGAAGUGCCGCUGUGUGCUCAGGAGAGCUUCUGGGGGGCACUUCUGCAAAGUGCUGUACUGAUGGCAGAAAGGGCGGCUGCUGCCCCAAGAGGCUGGAAGGAAUCAGAAAGCACGAGAUGAAAGAUGAAGAAGAGCAAGACAUUCCCUGAUUUGUUUGAAAGUAAUGCUGGCAGUGAGAGCACUAUUAAGAGGUUAAAAUACAGGAUGUCUGUCCUGUGUCUGGGUAGCAAUGAGAGCAUUUAUCCCACUUAAAGGAAAAGCUCUCCCAUCAGUUCCUAACUGGUUUGCUAAUCCAAUAGAUAAUGUAGCGAAACCAAUUUAACUCAGUGAGGCUUCUGCUGUUGGGACAACAAAACACUUAAUAGGAUUGCUCUGGUUUGAAAUACUCCCAGUCGUUAACCUAAAAAAGCACUUCCCAUCAGGAGGAAAACAGCACCCUGAAUGUUCGUCUCUGAAGCAGAACAGAUAACAAAAAGCUUAUUGAAAGUUUCUGAGAAUAUUUUUGUUUAAAGAAAAAAAUCUGAGGCAACUCCCUCCUUUAUUAUAGCAGCUCAAACCACUUGCAAUGGUUGAAAGCCUGUUGGAUACUAAAAUAACACUGCGUGCAAUAUAUGUUACAGACACAGCUAAUUGUUCUUAAUGAAAACUGAAUAAAAAUUUGGCAAC